AGGGGUAUAGCUCAGUGGUGGAGCACAUGCUUAGCAUGCAUGAGGUCCUGGGUUCAAUCUCUAGUACCUCCA
rnacentral:tRNA from 1 species